UACGAGUGCUUCGAGCGUUAUCCGGAAUCAUUGGGCGUAAAGGGUGUGUAGGCGGCGUUGUUAGUCUCCCGUUAAAUUCCUCGGCUCAACCGGGGGCUCGCUGGAGAAACGGCAAUGCUUGAGAUUGGCAGGGGUCACUGGAACUCUAGGUGUAGCGGUGAAAUGCGUAGAUAUCGAGAGGAACACCUGCGGCGAAGGCGGGUUGCUGGGCUGACACUGACGCUGAUGCGCGAAAGCUAGGGGAGCGAACGGG
rnacentral:rRNA from 1 species